rnacentral:lncRNA from 7 species
AUGACUUCCACUGCUGCUCUACACUUGUAUUAUAUUGCAAGAAAUUAUUUGUCAUUUUUUUUUAAAUUGCUUUUUCUCCCUUUUUCAGAAAACCACAACUGGCUCUGGAUUCUUUAUCUCUUUUGCCUCAUUUUUGUAUUAGAGGAGAUCCAGGCACGAGGAAGAUCAAGGAAGGGUGCAGAGAAAGGGACCCUGAAGAAGGAGAUGGGAAAGCUCCAUUCAAAGUCUGAAAAUCUGGAGAAGAAGAACGAGGAGCCCCGUGCCAAGUCUGGUGAGUCCUUGUGCUUGCCCUCAGUCAUUUGCUACUGAGGG